rnacentral:rRNA from 1 species
CAGUGAUUACUUUAACGGCCGCGGUACCCUGACCGUGCAAAGGUAGCAUAAUCAUUUGCCUUUUAAUUGGAGGCUAGUAUGAAUGGUCUAACGAGAGUAAAACUGUCUCAUAUAUAUUCAAUAGAAACUAAUUUGAAGGUGCAAAAGCCUUUAUCUAUUAAAAAGACGAGAAGACCCUGUUGAGCUUUAAUCCUAACAAGCAUCUUUCAUAUAUUUAUAAAUUUAUCCCGCUUGCUAAAGAUUUUAAUUGGGGCGAUUAAGGAACAAUCACAAGCUUCCUGACUGUAAAUUAAAUCGAUCCAGCAAUGCUGAUCAACAAAACGAGUUACCACAGGGAUAACAGCAUAAUUCUUCUUGAGAGCUCAUAUCGAAAGAAGAGAUUGUGACCUCGAUGUUGGACUAGGGUGACUAGAAGGUGUAGCCGCUUUCUUGUUUGGUCUGUUCGACCAAUAAUUCCCU